rnacentral:rRNA from 1 species
AUCAAUAAGCGGAGGAAAAGAAACCAACAGGGAUUGCCCCUAGUAACGGCGAGUGAAGCGGCAACAGCUCAAAUUUGAAAUCUGGCCCUCGGGUCCGAGUUGUAAUUUGUAGAGGAUGCUUUUGGUGAGGUACCUUCCGAGUUCCCUGGAACGGGACGCCAUAGAGGGUGAGAGCCCCGUCUGGUUGGAUACCGAGCCUCUGUAAAGCUCCUUCGACGAGUCGAGUAGUUUGGGAAUGCUGCUCUAAAUGGGAGGUAUAUGUCUUCUAAAGCUAAAUACCGGCCAGAGACCGAUAGCGCACAAGUAGAGUGAUCGAAAGAUGAAAAGCACUUUGAAAAGAGAGUUAAAAAGUACGUGAAAUUGUUGAAAGGGAAGCGCUUAUGACCAGACUUGGGCUUGGUUGAUCAUCCUGGGUUCUCCCUGGUGCACUCUUCCAGUUCAGGCCAGCAUCAGUUCGCUGCGGGGGAUAAAAGUUUUGGGAAUGUGGCUCCCUCGGGAGUGUUAUAGCCCAUUUCAUAAUACCCUGCUCCGGACUGAGGUUCGCGCAUCUGCAAGGAUGCUGGCGUAAUGGUCAUCAGCGACCCGUCUUGAAACACGGACCAAGGAGUCGUCUUCGUAUGCGAGUGUUCGGGUGUUAAACCCCUACGCGUAAUGAAAGUGAACGCAGGUGAGAGCUUCGGCGCAUCAUCGACCGAUCCUGAUGUUCUCGGAUGGAUUUGAGUAAGAGCAUACGGGGCCGGACCCGAAAGAAGGUGAACUAUGCCUGUAUAGGGUGAAGCCAGAGGAAACUCUGGUGGAGGCUCGCAGCGGUUCUGACGUGCAAAUCGAUCGUCAAAUAUGGGCAUGGGGGCGAAAGACUAAUCGAACCUUCUAGUAGCUGGUUUCC